GGGGGUGUAAAGGUUUCGACGGGGGUAAGAAGCAAAGGUUGCAUGCCGAGGUCCGGGUGGCUCGUUAAACAAUCCGGGACGCAUUUAAGCGCCGACAAUUACGAUUACGCUUUAGCAGCUUAAUAACCUGCUAACGUUCUACCUGCCUUCUCCCACGGGGGAGGAUAGAACGUCAUUCAGUGGGAUAGUUUCAGGGAGUGUCCGUGGCCCUGAGGCGAGAUUAAGCGGAACCGCCGAUCAGGAAUCCCGGCCUGUGGAGUCCUGAGAGGUUAAAUCAAAAACAGGUAUAAGCAUGUAGACGCCUUUUGUGUACGAUUCUCGGACGCGGGUUCGAUUCCCGCCACCUCCACCA
rfam:Geobacter sp. M18, complete genome.